CCUACGGGUGGCAGCAGUGAGGAAUAUUGGUCAAUGGCCGGAAGGCUGAACCAGCCAUGCCGCUUGAAGGUCAGUGCCCUAUGGGCGUUAAACUUCUUUUGUGCGGGAGCAAUAAUGGUCACGUGUGGCCAGACGAGAGUACCGUACGAAUAAGCAUCGGCUAACCCCGUGCCAGCAGCCGCGGUAAUACGGGGGAUGCAAGCGUUAUCCGGAUUUAUUGGGUUUAAAGGGUGCGUAGGCUGUGAGGUAAGUCAGCGGUGAAAUGCCCCCGCUCAAAGGGGUGAAGUGCCAUUGAUACUGCCUGGCUUGAAUGCGGAUGCCGUGGGAGGAAUGUGUGGUGUAGCGGUGAAAUGCAUAGAUAUCACACAGAACACCGAUUGCGAAGGCAUCUCACGAAUCCGCGAUUGACGCUGAUGCACGAAAGCGUGGGUAUCAAACAGGAUUAGAUACCCUUGUAGUC
rnacentral:rRNA from 1 species